UACGAAGGGGGCUAGCGUUGCUCGGAAUCACUGGGCGUAAAGGGUGCGUAGGCGGGCAGGUAAGUCAGUGGUGAAACUCUCCGGCUUAACCCGGAAACUGCCAUUGAUACUAUCUGUCUUGAAUAUGGUGGAGGUAAGCGGAAUUAUGUCAUGUAGCGGUAGAAAUGCUUAGAGAUGAACAUAGAACACCCAUUGCGAAGGCAGCUUACUACGCCUAUAUUGACGCUGAGGCACGAAAGCGUGGGGAUCAAACAGG
rnacentral:rRNA from 1 species